UUCAUUCUUCUUCUUCUUCUUCCAGCAGGAAACAAACCCAUAAGCAGUCCCGCAGCAGCAUAGUCAGUCCAGCUUCUCGACCCGAAUUGCGACACUAAACCCAGAAAAGCGGGCAGCCGCGUGUCGCCAUCUCCUUGAAUGUUCGUCCUUUCUCAAAAUCCUGCGGUGCUCAUUGAUUCACCGUUUGAAUUCAUACUAUUGGACAACUUUCAGACUUAUCCUUUAAGAGGAUUUUGAAUUUCAAAUUGGAAGGGAUCCAAAAAAAAAUUCUACAUGUUUUUCCCCCUCUCAAACUCUGCCCAGGGUCCGUCUCACUCGUGGCUAUCUCAGUCCGCUGCUCCGAGAAAGGUAAACUCGAUUUCCUUAUAUUUACUCACACUGACCUGUUUUAUUAGGCUUUAUAUAUGUCCACUUUUUUUUUUUUUAAGUCUUGUGGUUCAUGCUUUAUUUCUCUUGAAUUGUGGCCAGUUUACUAAGUGUUUUGCAUAACGAAAUUUGUUAACAUGUAUUGGGCUGAAAGGAUUUAUGAUUGUUCAUUUUUAUUCUUGCCUUGGCUUUAGUUAGUUAGUGUGGAUAUUAAGACUCAAUAUACUUUCCUCUUGCAUAGUCAAUAUGUUUUUUUUACUAUUUGAAUAGAUUAACAUUUAUGCUUUCAAUACCAUUGAUUAGAGAUUUUGGGUUAGUGUGAGUUUAAUAUAGGUUAGUGAGUUGAUUUGGUUAAGCUUGAAUACCCAUUUUGUCAAUCUUUUAUGUUGUAAGAUUCUAGCUGCAUUUUUCGUUAUUGUAUUGAGCCUAUCGGGUUGAGACCUGGUUUGCUCUACUUGUAUUUCGUUCUACCCCUUUCAGGCACUUUCCCUCCAUUAUUUUUGUGUAGCAGUCAAUUUAAGUAGCUGCGCAUCUGCAUUCUUCAUUUUCGUUUGAUUUCGGGUGAUCGUAUGAACAUGUAGUGAGAAGAUAACAAUGAUGAUGUUCAUGUUGAGGCUGCCUUCUUUUUAGGAAUCAUUAUAUGUGAAAGUGUGUAGUAACUUAGCUAUAGAUUAAAAUUCUCUGAAUUAGGUGAUAGAAAUUAUCCAAAUCAAUUCUUCGUGUGCCCAUACUCACUAUGUAUCUUUGCUGUGGUACCUAACUGUAUUAAGCUUUUGUGUAUGCUUCGGUUUUCUGUUGGGAAGCUUUUUGUUCGUGUUUGUGUAUUUGUUAUAUUUUUUCUAAGAUUAUAGGUUCAUGUAGCAUCAAUCAUGAUUAAGGGGUUGAAGCUUAGUUACUUGUUCAUAUUUGAGUAUUCUGUUUUCUCCAAUCUUGUCUCCUUAAAAAAAAUUCUCAUGUUGAUUUAAAUGUUAAUAUUAUAUGGUGCACAUUUGGUUCAUAUCUUGAAAAUCUCACCAUCAAUCAUUGACCUCGCCAUAAGAAUAUCUAAUCAUAGCUGCUAUUGUUUUGGAUAAAUUAUUGUAAAUUAAGUGACCACUUUAGUAUUGAUAUGAGGAUAUAUAAGCGUUCUUUUAAGGUUAAAGUAGCGUCAAAUGAUAUUGGGUCUUCCUUUUUUAAAUUAAUUAAGAUUCUGUGUUUUUUUUUAAUUAUUAUUGAUUGUCCCUGCUCAAUUUUGGGCUAAUAGUUUAUGUUAAUAUUUUGAUCGAUUGUUCCAGAUUGUGCAUUGUUUUGAUUUAGGAAGGCUUAACUUGUUUGCCAUGAUUUUACUCUCCAUCUUAUUAGCCCUUAAGCUUAAAAUUUUAGUCAUCUUUUUUAUUCUAUUUGAGCAUUUAUUAAUGUUAAAUGUAGUCAGUAGUCAAAUAUUAGAAAUUUGCUAUUGAGCAUGCUUAUUAAGGCUUAGUUAAAAUUAAUAGUCUUCCAUUGUCAAUUCUAGACAUUGCCUCGUUUAGGCUAUAUUUUUUUUAUUUUGAUACAACAUGGUUCUUUUUUUAGUUAAUGAGGUAUACUUAUGUAUAUUUAUUAUUCUGUGUUGCAUGUGGAAUCCACCUGAGUUCCAUAUGAACUCUUAUUUCCUAUAUUUGCUUUUCGAGAGAGCCACAAAGACUCAAGUUUCUUCCAUUAAAGAGCAAUUCCCUAAAAAUUGACGCACAGGUCCCGAAGCGGAAGAAGUUGAAGAGAUUGGGCCUUAAAAGACCAAAUUCAUUCGAAAGAUUGUAUUUUGGGCAUAAGCCCUUGUCGUUUCUUUAUUUUAUUACUAUUGUAUGUUUAGUCUAGGACACGUAGAAAAGAUAAAUGGUUCAAAAACCCAAAGACAUGUGGGUCCAAAUACCGGUCAAGGCGAACAGAAAACCCGUAUUUGGACCCAAAUUUCCCUCCCUCUCUCUCUUUACUUGCUUUUUAUUACUUAUA